rnacentral:lncRNA from 1 species
UCAGAACUAUGGAAAGAACCAUGUGUGGAGUUUGGCACCACAGAUAUUCUCUGAGUGAUUGAAGUCUCUUCUACCAUGGUGGCCAUAUUGACAAGAUCUGCAAUGGUAUCAAAAGAGGUCAAGCUAAUAACCUGAGGAAACAGGAAGAAAACUCCAAUUGUCUUAUACAGAAGGUCUACAAUCAAUAGGAUGAAGUCUAACACUGGCGAGAGUGGGGUGGAGGUACCCCAGGCCUAUGUGACUAGCCCCCAGUAGAAACCCUAGAGACCAAAGCUCAGGGGCCUUGAAAGCUCCAUGAUAGAGAUGACAGAGCUAUAAGAUGAAAGCAGCCCAAAUCCCUGAGUCACCAAUGUUUGAAGAAGAGCUUCCCAGGAGAGGUACCAGACCCACAUGAGACUUCACAUGAUUAUAAAAUGAACUUCUAUUGUGUUGAAUCUCUGAACUUCAGGGUUGUUUUGCAGCACAGACUACAUUAUAGUGACAAGUAGAGGAAGGUACAGGCAUGCUAAUUUCAUUUUAAAAUUAAUCAAGGAUUGUCAAUGGAAAAU